CCUGUCUGCUGGGCAGAAUCUCAUCAGGCAUGAACUGCCUUUUGUGACUGAGGAGGAAGCAGAAUUCUAGAAUGAUGGGGAAUAAUAGUAAUAGAGACGGAGAGAGGAAUGCAAUGGAUGAAUCAGAGAUGUGCGAGUGUGUCGGGGAAGGCUCUUAUUCCAAAUCUGAAUUUCCUCCUGGUUAACUUUGACACAGUCCAAAACUGCCUUCUGCUGACUAUUGGAAACCUGGGUCACUGGUCGAAUCCAGAUUAAAUUGCCUAUUCAGUUCUGCAGUAGCAUCAGACAACAGAUGGUCUUGUUCACUUGGACUCUUCAGGCUCGGGAAACCAGUUGGCAGAGUGCAACAUCAAGCCUGACUUCUGCUGGGAGAGCUAUGCCUCAGUUGGGUGUGUGGUCUGAACCCAACACAUACGUUGGCAUUGACUUGCAGUUCUGAACCUGACAUCCGUAACCAAGAUUUGAAGCUGGAUCUAGAUGUCGGGUUUGCAACCACAAGUAGCGCAGAAUUUGCAGGUAUUGGUGUGUCCUGACAUUAGGCAUGUCAGCAUAGCAGGUCCCCAAACCAGAAGCUGGACUGGCUACCACGUUCCAGGAAUGGACAGUUCAUCAUUUUCCGUGACCUUUGAACCCAUCCUAAUACUGAAGGUCCUGAACAGAGUCAGCAUUGAGGCUUUGGCUUUAAAUCUAUGCUUGAGAAAAUUUCCAGAGACGGAGGAUACCUCUUCCAUUUCACGACACUUGACUUUGCUGUUUACAUUUCCCCUCCCUCCAUUCCCUGCUACCAAAGGAGGAUAAUAUUUAUGCAUCUGUUGAAGCAGAUGAUAGUCCACAAAUGUUUAUGCUCGAAUAAAUUUCUUAGUCACCUUCUAGAUGCCACAAGUGUCUUGGGUUUUUUUGGGGGGGGAAUCCCCCCCUUUUUUUGCUCUGGAAAUUUGGAAUUCAGUGGUGCCAGCUGGCAAAACUGAGUCAGCCAUGGUUUGGAUAACAGCUA